rnacentral:lncRNA from 1 species
CAGGGUGGUGUGAAGUGGUGCAAUCAUAGCUCACUGUGGCCUCAAACUACUGGGCUCAAGCUAUUCUCCUGCCUUAGCUGAGACUACAUGUGCACACUACCAUGCCUGGCUAAUUUUAAAACUUUUUGUAGAGCUUGUCUUUAACCGAACUGUCACACUGAAGGAAGACCCAGGAAAGGUGUGAGCUGGAAGCACUGAACCUACCUCAUCCUCCUGGAGGGUGUGGCUACCCUCGCCACCCCAAAUUCCAUGUCAAUAAAGAACAGCUAAAUUCUCCUAG